UAGAGUUUGAUCCUGGCUCAGAAUCAACGCUGGCGGCGUGCCUAACACAUGCAAGUCGCACGAGAAAGGGGCUUCGGCUCUGAGUAAAGUGGCGCACGGGUGAGUAACACGUGAAUUAUCUACCUCCGAGUGGGGAAUAACUGAGAGAAAUCUUAGCUAAUACCGCAUAACACUUACGAGUCAAAGCAGCAAUGCGCUUGGAGAGGAGUUCGCGGCCGAUUAGUUAGUUGGCGGGGUAAUGGCCCACCAAGACGAUGAUCGGUAUCCGGCCUGAGAGGGCGCACGGACACACUGGAACUGAAACACGGUCCAGACUCCUACGGGAGGCAGCAGUGGGGAAUUUUGCGCAAUGGGGGAAACCCUGACGCAGCAACGCCGCGUGGAGGAUGAAAUCCCUUGGGAUGUAAACUCCUUUCGAUAGGGAAGAUUAUGACGGUACCUAUAGAAGAAGCCCCGGCUAACUUCGUGCCAGCAGCCGCGGUAAUACGAGGGGGGCAAGCGUUGUUCGGAAUUAUUGGGCGUAAAGGGCGCGUAGGCGGUUUGACAAGUCUGAUGUGAAAUCUCUGGGCUCAACCCAGAGUCUGCAUUAGAAACUGUCGGGCUUGAGUAUGGGAGAGGUGAGUGGAAUUUCCGGUGUAGCGGUGAAAUGCGUAGAUAUCGGAAGGAACACCUGUGGCGAAAGCGGCUCACUGGACCAUAACUGACGCUGAGGCGCGAAAGCUAGGGGAGCAAACAGGAUU
rnacentral:rRNA from 1 species